UGUAGUGUAUUAAAUUGCUCCCCAUAGGAAUGCGCUACUUACGGUGUACCACUUAGAGCUGCCAGUCCUGGUGCUCUUAAUACACUACACGCUGCAG